rnacentral:lncRNA from 1 species
AGGAGGGAGUAAGAAGAUCCAUAUGAACUGAAUCAUUAAUGUAUUUCGUGAUUAGUGGCGCCGAGUAGUGGAAGCAACCAUACAAUUUAUAAUUUUAAAGCUAGUUAGAAUUUGAUAAUAGGCAUAAUUUUAGGUAGAUUAGGAGAGAGAAGAUAGUAAUAAUAGUAGUAAAGUAGUUAUAGUAGCGUCAAUAUUUACAGGGGAAGGGGGAGAGAAGAGGAGGAAGAGAAAAAAUAGCCAUAUCUCAGACUUUCCUAGAAUAUACAAUGAUUUGGGGCAGGCUAAAUGACGUGUGGGAAGACGAAUUCCACUAGAGAUGGUGGUAGUUGGUACCUGUUUCUUUCAU